rnacentral:rRNA from 1 species
GGGGAAUAAAAAUGGCAGUCGAACGGACUUAAUUCAUUCUUUUAUAUUGGAAGCGGUUAUUGGCGGACUGGUGAGCUUUUAAUGAGCAACCUGCCUAUUAGAGGGGAAUAACAGUGCCAUAACAUUGCUAAUACCGCAUAUGCUUACACUAUUGCAUGAUAGAGUAAGGAAAGGAGCAAUCCGCUAAUAGAUGCGCUCGCGUCUGAUUAGCUAGUUGGUGGGGUAGAAGCCUACCAAGGCGACGAUCAGUAGCCGGACUGAGAGGUUGAACGGCCACAUUGGGACUGAGAUACGGCCCAGACUCCUACGGGAGGCAGCAGUCGGGAAUAUUGCGCAAUGGAGGGAACUCUGACGCAGUGACGCCGCGUAUAGGAAGAAGGUUUUCGGAUUGUAAACUAUUGUCGUUAGGGAAGAAAAAAGACAGUACCUAAGGAGGAAGCCCCGGCUAACUAUGUGCCAGCAGCCGCGGUAAUACAUAGGGGGCAAGCGUUAUCCGGAAUUAUUGGGUGUAAAGGGUGCGUAGACGGGUGUUUAAGUUGGUUGUGAAAUCCCUCGGCUCAACUGAGGAACUGCAACCAAAACUGGAUAUCUUGAGUGUCGGAGAGGAAAGUGGAAUUCCUAGUGUAGCGGUGAAAUGCGUAGAUAUUAGGAGGAACACCAGUGGCGAAGGCGACUUUCUGGACGAUAACUGACGUUGAGGCACGAAAGUGUGGGGAGCAAACAGGAUUAGAUACCCUGGUAGUCCACACUGUAAACGAUGGAUACUAGGUGUAGGGUGUAUUAAAAAUUCUGUGCCGCCGCAAACGCAUUAAUUAUCCCCACCUGGGGAAUACGAACGCCAGGUUGAAACUCCAAGGAAUUGACGGGGGCCCGCACAAGCCGUGAAAUAUGUGGUUUAAU